GAUGAACGCUAGCGGAGGCUUAAUACAUGCAAGUCGAGCGGCAAGUUUUGAUAGCAAUAUUGGAACCUAGAGCGGCGCACGGGUGAGUAACGCGUACAUGACCUGCCCUAUACUGGGGGAUAGUCUUGGGAAACUGAGAAUAAUCCCGCAUGUGAUUAGAAUGCUGCAUGGCAAAUUAAUUAAAGCUGAGGCGGUAUAGGAUGGGUGUGCGUCUGAUUAGCUAGUUGGUAGUGUAACGGACUACCAAGGCGAUGAUCAGUAGGGGGCGUGAGAGCGUGACCCCCCACACGGGUACUGAGACACGGACCCGACUCCUACGGGAGGCAGCAGUAAGGAAUAUUGGUCAAUGGAGGGAACUCUGAACCAGCCAUCCCGCGUGAAGGAUGAAGGGGCUCUGCCUUGUAAACUUCUUUUGCAUGGGACGAAAAAACUUAAUUUAUUAAGGACUGACGGUACCAUGAGAAUAAGCACCGGCUAACUCCGUG
rnacentral:rRNA from 1 species